GGGGAUAUAGCUCAGUUGGGAGAGCGAUGCGUUCGCAACGCAUAGGUCAGGGGUUCGAGUCCCCCUAUCUCCAUCA
rnacentral:tRNA from 1 species